AGCAGCCGCGGUAAUUCCAGCUCCAAUAGCGUAUAUUAAAGUUGCUGCAGUUAAAAGCUCGUAGUUGAAUUUCGGGACUAAUAUGUCGGUCGUGCCUCGGUACGUACUGGUUUAUUGGUUUCUCCUUUCUGAAGAACCAUGAUGUCAUUUAUUUGGUGUCGUGGGGAAUCAGGACUGUUACUUUGAAAAAUUAGAGUGUUUAAAGCAGGCUCACGCUUGAAUACAUUAGCAUGGAAUAAUGAAAUAGGACGUUUGAUUCUAUUUUGUUGGUUUCUAGGAUCGACGUAAUGAUUAAUAGGGAUAGUUGGGGGCAUUAGUAUUCAAUUGUCAGAGGUGAAAUUCUUGGAUUUAUUGAAGACUAACUACUGCGAAAGCAUUUGCCAAGGAUGUUUUCGUUAAUCAAGAACGAAAGUUAGGGAUCGAAGACGAUCAGAUACCGUCGUAGUCUUAACCAUAAACUAUGCCGACUAGGGAUCGGAUGAUGUUAAUUUUUUAAUGUACUCAUUCGGCGCCUUACGGG
rnacentral:misc_RNA from 1 species